GACGAACCGUGCGAACGUUGUUCGGAUUCAUUGGGCUUAAAGGGCGCGUAGGCGGCCGCUCAAGUCGGGGGUGAAAUCUUUCAGCUUAACUGGAAAAUAGCCUCCGAUACUGGGCGGCUGGAGGGAGAUAGGGGUGCGCGGAACUUCCGGUGGAGCGGUGAAAUGCGUAGAUAUCGGAAGGAACGCCGGUGGCGAAGGCGGGUCUCUGGACAGUUCCUGACGCUCAGGCACGAAAGCCAGGGGAGCAAACGGG
rnacentral:rRNA from 1 species